rnacentral:rRNA from 1 species
GACGAACGCUGGCGGCGUGCCUAAUACAUGCAAGUAGAACGCACAGUUUAUACCGUAGCUUGCUACACCAUAGACUGUGAGUUGCGAACGGGUGAGUAACGCGUAGGUAACCUGCCUGGUAGCGGGGGAUAACUAUUGGAAACGAUAGCUAAUACCGCAUAAUAUUGAUUAUUGCAUGAUAAUUGAUUGAAAGAUGCUAUUGCAUCACUACCAGAUGGACCUGCGUUGUAUUAGCUAGUAGGUGAGGUAACGGCUCACCUAGGCGACGAUACAUAGCCGACCUGAGAGGGUGAUCGGCCACACUGGGACUGAGACACGGCCCAGACUCCUAAGGGAGGCAGCAGUAGGGAAUCUUCGGCAAUGGACGAAAGUCUGACCGAGCAACGCCGCGUGAGGGAAGAAGGUUUUCGGAUCGUAAAGCUCUGUUGUAAGAGAAGAAAGGGUGUGAGAGUGGAAAGUUCACACUGUGACGGUAUCUUACCAGAAAGGGACGGCUAACUACGUG